GGGGAGGGAGGCUGCGGACGAGCGCGGGGAGGAGUUUGCGAGGGGAGGCAGCUUGCAGGGGCUCCCCCAGUUCUGCGCUGCGAGCCCGGGGCACAAAGAGCCCUCUGCACUCGCGCCGCAGGGCCCGCGGAACCGAGG
rfam:Microcebus murinus cont1.360924, whole genome shotgun sequence.